rnacentral:rRNA from 1 species
AACGAACGCUGGCGGCAUGCCUAACACAUGCAAGUCGAACGAGACCUUCGGGUCUAGUGGCGCACGGGUGCGUAACGCGUGGGAACCUGCCCUUAGGCUCGGAAUAACUCCCCGAAAGGGGUGCUAAUACCGGAUAAUGUCUUCGGACCAAAGAUUUAUCGCCUUUGGAUGGGCCCGCGUUGGAUUAGCUAGUUGGUAGGGUAAAAGCCUACCAAGGCGACGAUCCAUAGCUGGUCUGAGAGGAUGAUCAGCCACACUGGGACUGAGACACGGUCCAGACUCCUACGGGAGGCAGCAGUGGGGAAUAUUGGACAAUGGGCGAAAGCCUGAUCCAGCAAUGCCGCGUGAGUGAUGAAGGCCUUAGGGUUGUAAAGCUCUUUUACCCGGGAUGAUAAUGACAGUACCGGGAGAAUAAGCUCCGGCUAACUCCGUG